AGAGCGGCGUGCUAACCUGGGAGGACUAGGUUUUUUCCGGCCAGGGAGUGGAAACCUGAGAAGUAGGGAGAACCUUCCUUCUCCGCCCCUGGACGGUGGUUUUUCUUUUUCUUUCUGAGACAGGGUCUCGCUCCGUCGCCCAGGCUGGAGUGCAGUGGCGUGAUUUCGGCUCACUGAGGCCCCGACCAACCUCUCGGGCUCGAGCGAUCCUCCCACCUCCUCCCCAGUAGCUGGGAUUACAGGCACACGCCACGACGCCCGGGUAGCAUUUUUUUUUUUUAACAGUCGGCGUCUUGCCAUGUUGCCCAGGCUGGUCUUGAACUCCCGGCCUCGAGAGAGCCUCCCGCCGUGGCCCCCCCAAAGUGCUGGGAUUACAGGCGUGAGCCACCGCGCCCAGCCGAGAUUAUUUCUGUCACUAACAAUAAUGUGGCAUUCUGGAACGCUAUGUGCCACAUACUGUUCUAAGAAUUUUAAAUGUAUUUACUCAAUCUUCAAUACAUACUUACAGAGCACUCUCAGAGAAGUUGCCCCCCCACCCAUGGUACUAUUAUUAUCAAUAGCCACUUAAGGGGUAUUAGUACUAUUAUCAGUAAUUUAUUUUAUUUUUGAGACGGAGUUUUUCGCUCUCGUCACCCAGGCUGGAGUGCAGUGGUGCGAUCUCGGCUCACUGCAACCUCCGCUUCCCGGGUUCAAUCGAUUCUCGUGCCUCAGCCUCCCGAGAAGCUGGGACUACAGGCGCCCACCACCAUGCCCGGCUAAUUUUUAAAUUUUUAGUAGAGACGGGGUUUUGAACUCCUGGUCUCCAACGCCUGACCUCAAGUGAUCCACCCGCCUCAGCCUCCCAAAGUGCUAAGAUUACAGGUGUGAGCCACCGCGCCUGACCUAGAGUUCUCUUUUUAUAUAUAGUCUGGUUAUUGUCUGUCUGUACACCCAUCUCUCCACUCCGAAUGCGAUGGUCUGUCUCCACAGCUCGUGUUCUUCAGUUGUCUUCCCUACGCUGCUGCCUCGGCAGUCACUAUCUCCUCAGGAAGCAGUCCCACCCGCCCCUUUCUCUUCCACGGCAUCCACACCAUCCGGAUGCCUGGAUUCAAAUGCCACGUCACCACUUGCCAGCUGCAGUGCCUUCGACAAGUUUCUCAAUCACUCUGUGCCUCAGCGUCCUCCUCUGUAAAACGGCGAAUGAUGGUAGCGCCUACCUCAUAAGCUUGUGAGGAUUAAGUGAGAGUCUAUCCAGUGUUGAGGAGAGUGGCAUAAAUAAAGCGCCUAGUGGUAGCUACCAUCGUCAUUAUUGUCAUCUGCAUUGUACUUCCAUAUCUUACAAACUACCUUGUUCAGUUUUAUGGGUUUUUUGUUUGUUUGUUUUGUUGUUUUGAGACGGGGUUUUGCCAUAUUGCCCAGGCUGGUCUUGAACUCCUGGGCUCAAGUGAUCCACUCGCCUCAGCCUCCCCAAGUGCUGGGAUUACAGGUGUAAGCCACCAUGCCUGGCCAAAUUUUAUGCAUUUUUGUAUCUUGAACACGCGUAUAUUAUUCAUCUGGAAGGGGGAAACGUGGAAGGAAAAAACUUCCAUAAGUUUUCACUCCCUUCAGGAUGAAGUCCAAGCUCCACAAAUUCCGGGUGCCUCGUGAUUACAGAGAUGGUUUUAUAAUGGUGGUUGAACCUGUAGGUUCUCAAGUCUUAAAAAAGAUCUGCGUUUGAACCUCAGCAGUCACUGACGAGCUCUUGAUCUUAGGCAAAUUAGCCUCUUCAAGAGUGCUAAAUGGGAGAAAGUAACAGGACUUUCCUCAUAGGGUUUGAUGAUUUAGAGUAAAAAAAAAAAAAAAAGAAAAGAAAACCAGCACAGAGUCUUGUGUACUGAAGGUGCUUAAUAUCUUAACACAGCUGACUCUGUACAGUCUGGGGGCGAGGGGCACUGACCCCCAGCUCAGCCGAAAACCUCCAUAUAGGCUGGGCGCGGUGCCUCACGCCUGUAAUCCCAGCACUAUGUGGAAGGCCAAGGCCGGCGGAUCAACUGAGGUCAGGAGUUCGAGACCAGCCUGGCCAACAUGACAAAACCUGGUCUCUACUAAAAAUACAAAAAUUAGGCAGGCGUGGUGGCAGGUGCCUGUAAUCCCAGCUACUUAGGAGGUUGAGGCAAGAGCAUCACUUGAACCCAGGACGUGGAGAUUGCAGUGAGCCGAGAUCGCACCACUGCACUCCAUCCUGGGCGACAGAGCAAGACUGCCUCAAAAAAAAAAAAAAAAAUCAAGAAAGAAAAUCUGCAUAUAACUUUUGACUUCCCCAAAACUUAACUACUAGGCCAGGCACCGUGGCUCACACCUGUAACCCCAGGUGGGAUUUGGGAAGCUGAGGUGGGCAGAGCACUUGAGCCCAGGAGUUCAAGACCAGCCUGGGCAACACGGCAAAACCCAGACUCUACAGAAAACAGAAAAAUUAACUGGGUGUGGUGGUGUGUGCCCGUAGUUCCAGCUACUUGGGAGGCUGUGGUGGGAGGACUGCUUGAGUCAAGGAGGUUGAGGCAGCAGCGAACUAAGAUCAUGCCCCUGCACCCCAGCCCAGCUGGCAGAGCAAGACACUGUCUCAGGAUUUAAAAAAAACAUUACUCGUAGUUGACUGGAAGCCUUACCAAUAACAUAGUCAAUUAACACAUAUUUUAUAUGCUAUAUGUAUUAUAUUCUGUAUUCCUAUGAUGAAUUAAGCUAGAGAAAAGAAAAUAUUGGCCGGGCGUGAUGGCUCAUGCCUGUUACCCCAGCACUUUGGGAGGCUAAGGCGGGCGGAUCACCAGGUCAGGAGAUCGAGACCAUCCUGGCUAACACGGUGAAACCCCAUCUCUACUAAAAAUACAAAAAAUUAGCCGGGCGUGGUGGCAGGCACCUGUAGUCCCAGCUACCGGGGAGGCUGAGGCAGGAGAAUGGCGUGAACCCGGGAGGCGGAGCUUGCAGUGAGCUAAGAUCGCGCCACUGCACUCCAGCUUGGGUGACAGAGCGAGACUUCGUCUCAAAAAAAAAAAAAAAGAAAAUAUUAAGAAAAUUCUAAAAAAGAGAAAAUAUAUUUACUAUUCAUUAAGUGGAAGUGGAUCAUCAUAAAGGUCUUCAUCCUUGUCUUCAUUCUGAGUAGGCAGAGGUGCAGAAAGAAGAGGAGGGUUUGGUCUUGCUGUCUCAGGGUGCCAGAGGUGGAGGAGGUAAAAGGCAAAGCAGGAGAGGCAGGCAUGCUCUGUGUAACCUUUACUUUUUUCAAUCUGCAUAAAAGUGGACCCGAGCAGUUCAGACCCAUGUUGCUCAAGGGUCAACUGAUGAGAUCUGGCCUCACCCUGAUCCUCUUCAGAAGCAUGGUCCAGUCAUAUGGCACCAGGCCCUCUUCCACAAACCCCUCAUGCUUCCUCCUCUCUCUCUCUCACUCAGGCUGGAGCCCUCUAGCCCUUCCUCUCUGAAAGGAGCACGGGUAAUAUAAGAGGAACCCUUGGUUUCCAUCAUGGGUUGCCAAGGACCAGCUGGGCAUGCUUGGGGAGCUGAAUUCCUUUCCUUUUGUACAAGUGUAAUAAAAUCUAAUUAUGCCCCAUCCAUAGGACGCAAAACCAUGUAGCUGUUGGCAAAAAUGAGACAAGCCUGGGCAUAUCCAAUAAGCAAGAUGCAGAAGUGUGCAUAGUAUGCUACAAUUUUCAUUAAUAAAAAUGACCUUAACGUAUGUAUAUUUAUUUAAAAUAUGCUUAGAAAGUCAUGUAGGAGAAAUUAUAAUUUCCAAAUUGUCUCAGCCCUGAUUUAAAAAUUAUAGUUUAAGCCACUCAUUUAUUUAGCAACAAUGUAUUGACUGCUGUGUGCCAGGAACUGUUCUUGGACCUGGGGAUACUGCAUGAACAAGGGUAAAUAAAAGAAAAACCAAAACCAAAACCUUGUCCUUAACUAGAAACAAAUGCCAAUCACCUGAUGAAUGGAUAAAUAAAAUGGGGUUAUGUCCAUACAAUGGAAUAUCCAGCAGUAAAGAGGAACAAAGCUGGCCGGGCACGGUGGCUCAUGUCUAUAAUCCUAGCACUUUGGGAGGCUGAGGUGGGCGGAUUGCCUGAGCUCAGGAGUUCGAGCCUGGGCAAUUAUGGUGAAACCCUGUCUCUACUAAAAUACAAAAAAUUAGCCUGACGUGGUGGCAGGCGCCUGUAAUCCCAGGUACUUGGGAGGCUGAGGUGGGAGAAUCGCUUGAACCCACUUGAACCCAGGAGGCAGAGGCUGCAGUGGGCCGAGAUUGUGCCACUGCACUCCAGCCUGGGCAACAGAGCAAGACUCUGUCUCAAAAAUAAAAAAAAUAAAUAAUAAUAAUAAUAAUAAGCAAGGAAGAGAAUGCACAUGGCCAGUUCAUGAGGAAGCUGCAAAGUAGGACCUUUGAGUUUUACUCUGAGAUGGAAAACUCCAGGAAAGUUUUAGACAGAGCUGUGACAUGGUCUGACUUAUCUUUUAAUAUGAUGAUUCUGGCCGGGCGCGGUGGCUCACUGUCAUAUUUUAAAUUAAUCUAAACUUACAGGAAAUUGAGAUUCUAUGAAGUCUGUUUACUGGGAAUGGCAAGAAAGAGGGGAGAUGGGAGUCUCUCUAAACCUAUUCUGGUUCCAGAGGCUGCUCAAUUCACACAAAAAAGAGAAAGAAUGAAACAUGGGGGGAAGAAAUGGAAGAACUAGAGGUGGAGACUUUCAGCCCCAGAAUUUUACCAUGUGGAAGUUUUUGUUUGUUUUUGUUUUUUUGAGACAGUGUCUAGCUCUGUCGCCCAGACUGGAGUGCAGUGGCGUGACCUUGGCUCACUGCAACCUCCACCUCCCAGAUUCAAGUGAU
rnacentral:lncRNA from 1 species